rnacentral:rRNA from 1 species
AGAGUUUGAUCCUGGCUCAGGAUGAACGCUGGCGGCGUGCCUAAUACAUGCAAGUCGAGCGAACGGACGAGAAGCUUGCUUCUCUGAUGUUAGCGGCGGACGGGUGAGUAACACGUGGAUAACCUACCUAUAAGACUGGGAUAACUUCGGGAAACCGGAGCUAAUACCGGAUAAUAUUUUGAACCGCAUGGUUCAAAAGUGAAAGACGGUCUUGCUGUCACUUAUAGAUGGAUCCGCGCUGCAUUAGCUAGUUGGUAAGGUAACGGCUUACCAAGGCAACGAUGCAUAGCCGACCUGAGAGGGUGAUCGGCCACACUGGAACUGAGACACGGUCCAGACUCCUACGGGAGGCAGCAGUAGGGAAUCUUCCGCAAUGGGCGAAAGCCUGACGGAGCAACGCCGCGUGAGUGAUGAAGGUCUUCGGAUCGUAAAACUCUGUUAUUAGGGAAGAACAUAUGUGUAAGUAACUGUGCACAUCUUGACGGUACCUAAUCAGAAAGCCACGGCUAACUACGUGCCAGCAGCCGCGGUAAUACGUAGGUGGCAAGCGUUAUCCGGAAUUAUUGGGCGUAAAGCGCGCGUAGGCGGUUUUUUAAGUCUGAUGUGAAAGCCCACGGCUCAACCGUGGAGGGUCAUUGGAAACUGGAAAACUUGAGUGCAGAAGAGGAAAGUGGAAUUCCAUGUGUAGCGGUGAAAUGCGCAGAGAUAUGGAGGAACACCAGUGGCGAAGGCGACUUUCUGGUCUGUAACUGACGCUGAUGUGCGAAAGCGUGGGGAUCAAACAGGAUUAGAUACCCUGGUAGUCCACGCCGUAAACGAUGAGUGCUAAGUGUUAGGGGGUUUCCGCCCCUUAGUGCUGCAGCUAACGCAUUAAGCACUCCGCCUGGGGAGUACGACCGCAAGGUUGAAACUCAAAGGAAUUGACGGGGACCCGCACAAGCGGUGGAGCAUGUGGUUUAAUUCGAAGCAACGCGAAGAACCUUACCAAAUCUUGACAUCCUUUGACAACUCUAGAGAUAGAGCUUUCCCCUUCGGGGGACAAAGUGACAGGUGGUGCAUGGUUGUCGUCAGCUCGUGUCGUGAGAUGUUGGGUUAAGUCCCGCAACGAGCGCAACCCUUAAGCUUAGUUGCCAUCAUUAAGUUGGGCACUCUAAGUUGACUGCCGGUGACAAACCGGAGGAAGGUGGGGAUGACGUCAAAUCAUCAUGCCCCUUAUGAUUUGGGCUACACACGUGCUACAAU